GUGUCAGCCGCCGCGGUAAUACGUAGGUGGCAAGCGUUGUCCGGAAUUAUUGGGCGUAAAGCGCGCGCAGGCGGUUUCUUAAGUCUGAUGUGAAAUCCCCCGGCUUAACCGUGGAGGGUCAUUGGAAACUGGGUGACUUGAGUGCAGAAGAGGAAAGUAGAAUUCCAAGUGUAGCGGUGAAAUGCGUAGAGAUUUGGAGGAAUACCAGUGGCGAAGGCGGCGUUCUGGACUGUAACUGACGCUGAGGCGUGAAAGCAUGGGGAGCAAACAGGAUUAGAUACCCUGGUAGUCCACGCCGUAAACGAUGAGUGCUAAGUGUUAGAGGGUU
rnacentral:rRNA from 1 species